rnacentral:rRNA from 1 species
GAUGAACGCUAGCGGUGCGCCUAACACAUGCAAGUCGAGCGUGAUUACAUUGUAGCUUGCUAUGAUGUAUGAAAGCGGCGAACGGGUGAGUAACACGUUGGUAUCUGCCUUUUGGUCAGGGAUAGCCAGUAGAAAUGCUGAAUAAUACCGGAUAGUCUCGAGAGAGUAAAGAUUUAUCGCCAGAAGAGGAACCUGCGGCCUAUAAGCUAGUUGGUGAGGUAAAAGCUCACCAAGGCAACGACGGGGAGUUGAUCUGAGAGGAUGAUCAGCCACAAUGGAACUGAGACACGGUCCAGACUCCUACGGGAGGCAGCAGUGGGGAAUAUUGGACAAUGGGCGAAAGCCUGAUGCAGCCAUGCCGCGUGUGUGAAGAAGGCCUUCGGGUUGUAAAGCACUUUCAGCGAGGAGGAAAGGUUGGCGCCUAAUACGUGUCAACUGUGACGUUACUCGCAGAAGAAGCACCGGCUAACUCCGUGCCAGCAGCCGCCGUAA